rnacentral:rRNA from 1 species
UACGAAGGGUGCAAGCGUUACUCGGAAUUACUGGGCGUAAAGCGUGCGUAGGUGGUUUGUUAAGUCUGCUGUGAAAGCCCCGGGCUCAACCUGGGAAUGGCAGUGGAUACUGGCAAGCUAGAGUGCGGUAGAGGGUAGUGGAAUUCCCGGUGUAGCGGUGAAAUGCGUAGAGAUCGGGAGGAACACCAGUGGCGAAGGCGGCUACCUGGACCAGCACUGACACUGAGGCACGAAAGCGUGGGGGAGCAAACAGG